GCCAGCAGCCAUAUCACCCUACAACUCACUGGAGCUCAGCAGGUGUGAGCCUGGUCAGUACCUGGUUGGGAGACCUCCUGGAAAAACUAAGGUUGCUGCUGGAA
rnacentral:rRNA from 1 species